AAACCCAAAAAUAUAAGAAAAAAAUUAAUGUUUUCUUUGAAAAAAUGUUUUUUUAUUGUAAUCACUUAUCGUAAUUAUAGUAGUUUAGCAUUAAAAUUAUUUUGAGUAAUUAAUUGUUGAAAAAUUUUGUUUUUCAGAUGCCGGUGGAAAUAUAAUAUCAAAUACAGGUGAUUUAGUCAAAGGAGUUGGUGAAACAGCAGGAGAUCUGACAAAAUCAUUAGUAUUAAGAUUCGGCAGGAAAAAAAAGUUUCCGCUUAGUCCUCAUGCAUUCUGAAUGAAAAAAAAGAUCCAUUCAGGAGGCAUCAGGAU